CUCGUAGACCUGGUACUCUAAAUGCACACAAGUUGCCUCGUAGCCCUGUAAAUAAAUACAGGACACGCCGCCGCAAAAAGGGAAUGAUUAAAAUAGAAAAACCAAGGACGUGCAAGUUUAUUCUGUUCAUCCUUAACCUUUUUGGGGUGAAAACACGUCGCGAAGACUACUGGCAGUGAGGCUGGGCCGGCUACAUAGACGGUGCCAUGGAGAACUCACUGGAAUACUCCGGGAGAUCCUCAGGAGUACAUAUAAUAUAGUACAUAUUUUAAAUCGUGUGUAAAAAUAUGGAUAUGGAUACAUCUGUACGGCCACCACCAGUACAGAUACGUCCCAGUCACUGACAGUGUCAACCCUGACAUAAUACGCUAACGUCUACGUUAUUUACUUUCUAUAGGUACA